rnacentral:rRNA from 1 species
UACGAAGGGGGCUAGCGUUGUUCGGAAUUACUGGGCGUAAAGGGCUCGUAGGCGGCCAACUAAGUCAGACGUGAAAUCCCUCGGCUUAACCGGGGAACUGCGUCUGAUACUGGAUGGCUUGAGUUUGGGAGAGGGAUGCGGAAUUCCAGGUGUAGCGGUGAAAUGCGUAGAGAUCGGGAGGAACAUCAGUGGCGAAGGCGGCCAUCUGGGACAACACUGACGCUGAGGCACGAAAGCGUGGGGAGCAAACAGG